AUAUUUAUAGUAUAUCCAAUACGUUAGCUUUUCACGCUAAAAAUCUGAUAAAUUAUCAGUAAAUAU
rnacentral:tRNA from 1 species